CGUUAAAAUUUUCAUCCAUUUAUAUUGUUAAAAACUGAUUUGGUUGAUAGAAUAACCAAACAGUUAUACAAGACGUGUCUUGUGUAUCUUAUGCUGAUGUAUAGGGAUCAGUUUUUAAUAAUAGAAAUGAAUGAAAUUUUUAACA
rfam:Gossypium raimondii Chr05_contig_1344, whole genome shotgun sequence.